rnacentral:rRNA from 1 species
AAGUCGUAACAAGGUUUCCGUAGGUGAACCUGCGGAAGGAUCAUUGUCGAAACCUGCAUAGCAAAACGACCUGUGAACAUGUUACAACAAUCUUGUCUCCUUAGAGUUGGGCUCUUGUUCGAUUCUUUGGAUUCCUUGUCGAUGUGCAUCUUUGGUUAGCCUAUCCGGUUCUAAAGAUGUUAUGUUGGCCUAAUAACAACCCCCGGCACGGCAUGUGCCAAGGAAAAUCAAACUUAAGAAGGGCUCGUAUCAAGCUCCCCCGUUUGUGGGGUUUUGCAUGGGACGUGGCUUCUUUGUAAUAAUAAACGACUCUCGGCAACGGAUAUCUCGGCUCACGCAUCGAUGAAGAACGUAGCAAAAUGCGAUACUUGGUGUGAAUUGCAGAAUCCCGUGAACCAUCGAGUUUUUGAACGCAAGUUGCGCCCAAAGCCUUUUGGCUGAGGGCACGUCUGCCUGGGCGUCACAUAUCGCGUCGCCCCUACCAUGCCUUCUUGAUAGGGAUGCUUGGAUUGGGGCGGAGAUUGGUCUCCCGUUCCUAUGGUGCGGUUGGCUAAAACUGGAGUCCUCUUCAACGGACGCAUGAUUAGUGGUGGUUGAGAAGACCCUCUUAUCAAGUUGUGUGUUCCAAGGAGCAGGGAAUAUCUCUUUAAUGACCCUUGUCGUUUUUAGACGAUGAUUUGACCGCGACCCCAGGUCAGGCGGGACUACCCGCUGAGUUUAA